CCAGCAGGUGGCGUAGGAGAAGGAGCCCCGGAGCGAAGGGGAGACGCGGAGCUAUCAGGUGGAAAAGGGGCGCGGCCUGCCUACAGGAGAAGCUGACUUGAAGCCGAAAGAGGGGAAACUACACUGGAACAGACACACAGAUCUAUUUAAAUGCUUUGUGGCUCAUUAGAAUUCUUUAGCCAAAGAAAACAAACCAAAAUGGAUAAGAAGAAGAAAAAAAAAUGCAUCAAAGAAGAGAAAAGAAGA